UCUCUAAUUUCGGUUGUUUCAUACUUUACUCUAUAUAUACACAUUAAAGUAUGCUAUUGAUGUUUUAUUCAAAUUGUUUUGUACUACAAGUAGUAUUAAGCACCCAUGGGUGAAGCAUUAUUUGCAUUUUUAGUGUGCAUUAUUUUCCAAACUAAUCCAAAAAGGAUUUUUUGGGGACAUAUAUUAUCCUAUUAAGCAUUUUAUAUGACACGAAGUCACAAAGUUGUACAAAUCUAUUUAUAUUCGACAUUAAGGAGUGACGAAAGUUUAAAAAGAAGGUAAUUUCCAAAAGGACAGGGGUUCUGGCGUAUCCAGUUUGAUACUUGAGGGGAGGUCGUCGUAACUUUCCCCUGAACACAAACAAACAAACUACUCCUACUGACAAAGCGACAUCGAUCGUCGCCGCCGGUCGAUGAUCUCUUCACAAUCGGUUCUUCACGUUUUCUGAAGAGGGCAUGCUUCUCUUGAUCCAUUGUUGCACUCAAAUGCCGAAAACAACCUCUCACUUACCUUUUGGAAGUAUCAUUGGCUGCAUAUAAAGACAGUUUGAUCAGCCAAGCGAGUUGGUUCCUUCUUGUAAUUGGACGUACAAACAUUCAUAUACUGAGCUAAAGAAGAUGUAAGGAUUGUAGGUAUUGUUUUUCCUAUCAGAAAUUCUAUAAUCUAUAUAAGCUUUUGAUGUCUGUAGGAUUACGGUUGAAAAUUUGGUGCUGUGUAUAAGACUUCAAAACCCUUGUUGAGGUGCUUCUGGACUUAAUUUGCAUAGAUUCCAAGAUGAAGAGAUCUUUAUUGUUUCACUAA